UUUUUAAAUAAUAAAAUCUUUUUAAAAGAUGGCAUGUAGUGAAUCAUAAUUGGUAACCAAAAAACCCGUCAUAAAUUUAAGGAAUCUAAACCACUAAUAAUGUAAGGCUGAUAACCAGAGCAAACCUCUACCAGGGCCCAGCUCACUGCCAUGGGUUUCAUGACACCCCAUGAAUGAGUCCUUUCUCCUGAAAUGACACAAUGGCACUGAGUAACCACAUAGAAUAUUAUUAAUCAGCAACGUGGGUGGUUUGUUCUGGAAGGCAUUUCCUGGGUGGGAGGUUGAAUUAGCUGACCUUUAAGAUCCUCUUUAGUGCUGACAAGUCUUUGAUUCCAGGUGACAAGCCCUGAAGGUUCUAGAGCACGGUAGGGAGGAAGCGACCUGUUGCUCACCUGGGCCACUGUUCUGCUCCACUGAGCUAAACCAAGCCAGGGGGAAAAGAAUGUCCUGCUGUUCAGACAAUGUCAGAGGGUGGCUUUGUCAUUGCUGUAAGACCCGAGCUAACUAGAGACAAUCAUUCCAGUUCCAGAAAGGCGGGGGUGUGACUCAAAGUGACAACCAGGAGGUCUGUGUGGGUGAGAGGGGCCCUUGUACUCUGGAGGGGAUAAUUUGUUUCUCUGCCUUGUUUACCGGCUUCCCAGAAAGCCAACAUGAAACCGGCAGAGUGAACCAUGUAGCACUAGAAAUAUUUACUUCGGCCUGGCCCACCUUUGCAGAGAGGACCAAAUUCUCUCAGACCUUUUGUUACUUCCCACUACCUGAUGGUGUCUCGCCUCUCCUAGGCUUGCAGAGCACUGAGAUGUAUUUUUCUUAGCAUGCUGCUUGGUAACAUGGUCCUGCACUUAUAACUCAUCAAGGUGUCUUGGGACAACCAGCCUCCCUGGGGAAGAGCCUCAGACAAGGGAUGUGGGAUCUUCCCACUCACUAGGAAAUCAGAGCAAACGACGUAAGAGUUGGAGAGAGGCACUUAAAAACAAACAAAUAAAUAAAGGAGUCAGAAGGAACACUUAGUAUCAUUUAUCUCUUUAGAAGAGAAAAUCUGGAAACUUGAAUUAACUGGAACUAAUUAAAUUAAUUAAAAAGAACUAUGUGUCAGUUGGCUGGAGCCUGGUGCCAAGGCCAAAGUCAGACAUCUGAUCUCCAUACAGCUGGUUAGCACCAUGCAGGGAGACCAAACUCUGUGAGCACAAACUAUGCCCCAUCCCCCCAUCAAGCGGUCCUCCAACGUCUCAUUAAUAACGAAGGAAUAGUUUGGGAAAAUGGUUAACUGUGCUUCUCAAAAUGAGUCAGCGUUCAUCCAAAUAUGAUCCCCGGUGAAAACGAGGUAAAUUCCUUCCCUCCCACCACUGUCUUUGCACUCUGCUUUAUGAAAGUGGCCCAGUGCCCCUUCCACCUGAGGUUCUGCUUUGAACUCAUGGUCACCAGGGAGUGCCAGGAUGGAAGGCUGAGCUGCCCUGUAACCCAUCCCACCCCAGAGGUUUCCAAACUAGGCUGUAAAGAGAACCCUCCAGGACUGAUUCAGGGGAUCCCUCUGACCUUCACCAAGGUACAAGAUUCCUCAACAGAGCACUGUUGGCAGUAGGUUGGGAUAACUUCUGUCUGGGACUGUCCUGAUCAUUUCAGCAUGUUUUACAGCACUAGCCCCCUCCCCUAAAAUGCCAGUAGAGCUCCCCAGUUAUAUUAGAGAAACCUAACUAUGCCCUAUUGUUUUCUGAAAGACCUGGGGAAAGAGCGUCAACAUUGUCCCCCAUAGAGGACCCCUGAUAGGACAUCCCUGCUCUUAUAGGUCUUAUCUGUAUAUGCUUUCUGCCAAAACUUCUUUCAAACAAGUGUUGAUGGUUUACAAAAUGAUUAUAUGCUGGCCAUUGCUCCACCGGAAGCCAGAAACCCCAUCAGAGAGCUGAUUCCAGGUGCUCACUGGCAGCUGCUCCAAUAUGGCAGCUGUUCCAGUGAUGGGGCAUGUACAGCCCUCAGACAUGAGCCGAUGUCAUCCCUAGACCAUUCAUAAGAAAGAAUAUCCACUUAAUAUUGCAUUGAAACUCAUCUCCCUGUGACUUCUGUCUGCUGGGCCAGAGUCUGACCUUGAAAGGCCAUAAAAUGUGAAUCUGUUACCUCUUCCACAGAGCUGCCCUCUAAAUAUUUGAAGAAAGCUGCUUUAUCUCCCCGAUUUAGCAAGCAGCCUGAUUCAACUCUUCUUAUACAGUUUUAUCAUUUUUAGAUCACUUACUGUGUUUCAGUCACUUUCCUGAUGUGAUCUUUGAUCAUCACAAAACCCCAUCAGGUAAGCUUAUUAUCCCAAUGUGAUGGAGAAAAGCUAAGCAAGCAGCUCGAAUCAACACAAGAGUAGAGGGCAGAGCCCAUAUUGACUUGUUCUCCAGGCCACACUCCUUUUACUACAAGCCUGCCGUUCCCACAUCUGACCCCCAGAACACCCUGGGAAGGAUGAUUUUAAAAAUAGAAACACAUAGAUUCUAAGAGAUGUAACAAACUAGAACUAGAUGAUUCUGAUAGAACUAAUUCAGAGAUCAGCAUUUAAAAACUGCUGCCUUGUGUAAUAUUUGACCUCCUCAACUUUUGAGGUUUCCCUUUUUGGGGGAAGAAACCUUCAUUUUUAAUGAAUCAACAUGUGAUUCCACGGUGUUACCCAAGUGUGUCCUGACCUGUACACUCCAAAAUAGAUCCACGCCCUUUCUUACUCUGGGCUGCUGUGCCCCACAAUGGAUAUGGAGUUCACAUCCCAUCACCCAUGACAGUGGGAAGAACCCGGCCCAAGCACAGUCACCACCUAUCCUGCCCAUGCUGGAGAUGCAGCACGGCCACUCACCUCCGAUUUUGUCCCUUGGCUUCUUUUCCCCACGCUAGUCUUCGUGGAGCGCAUCUCUUAAAAGCAAUUAAAAUUACACAGUGCCCUGAUUUCAAUCCUCCUGUAACCAUGCUGAAUAUUUUCCACUUUAAAAAAAAUUAAAUUUUAAUUAAGUUUUUUUUCAUCAAAACACCAGUCCUGCUGAUAAUGUCAGGAAGGUCUGAGAAAGUAAUUACGCGCACAAUCUGUUUUUGACACACUUCAUUCUCCAUUGGGACACUUCUUCUGUCUCCUUUACUUCAUUAAAAAUCCCCUGUUGCCAUAGGAAGGCUUGCUUUCUUCCCUAUUUACCAUAAUAGAGAUAAAGAACCAGGCUCCCUCCUUCGGUACACAGCAGCAACACCUCCUGCAUUGAAUGAACACCGUUAGCCACUAGGUUACACAAGGGAGUGUUCAUUCUACAUUUCCCUUUGUUGUAACCAUCCACCGGUGCAGAUAACGUGCCAGCCCAGAGUUACCUGAGAACACUUGAUGGAGCCCAUUAUCUAUUCCUCUUAUCCCUUUCCCAGUGUGAUAUACUUAGCCAUUACAUUAAGAAAAUACACUAGACUCUCUGAUUUCCUGAAGGUAGAAAUGACAAAAAUGAUACCCAGUUAUCAACAGACUCAAAAUUGUUUCUGUUUGGCAUCUGGCAAACCAACACCCAUAUUUUCUAUGCCUGGCUCAAACUCCUUAUAUUGGUUUCCUAGUGCUGCCAUUACAAAAUGCCACAAACUGGGUGGCUGAAGAAAAAAGAAAAAGAAAAAAUGAAAUGAAAAAAAAAAGCCACACAAAUAGAAAACAUAAAAUAAAAAGCACAAAAAAAGGCCAAAAAAAAAACCCCACAAA
rnacentral:lncRNA from 1 species